UACGUAGGGCGCAAGCGUUAUCCGGAAUUAUUGGGCGGUAAAGAGCUCGUAGGCGGUUUGUCGCGUCUUGCCGUGAAAGUCCGGGGCUCAACUCCGGAUCUGCGGUGGGUACGGGCAGACUAGAGUGAUGUAGGGGGAGACUGGAAUUCCAGGUGUAGCGGUGAAAUGCGUAGAUAUCUGGAGGAACACCGGUGGCGAAGGCGACAUCCUGGACCGGUAUUGAACGCUGAGGCGCGAAAGCCAGGGGA
rnacentral:rRNA from 1 species